rnacentral:rRNA from 1 species
AAAGCUUAAUCUCUUCUUUUUCUUUCAUUCGCGCCAUUCCUUUCAACAAAGUUGAGGCGGAGGCGGCAAUUGUCUAAGAGCGCAGAAAAAAAGCUUUUGCGUUUGUUCAAUUUGUUGAUAAAAAGAGGAGGAGUAUAGGUGCUAAAACAUAUGGUGGUGACACAAAAUCGGAGGCCACGACUGUUUACUAAAAACACAAUUCAGAGCAAUGAUGAAAAUCAUAGUAUUCUGGAUGAAAUUUGCUCAAUGCCAUUAACAUAAAAGAGGUAAUGGGAAACUGUUACUAAUUGAAAGUCUGGUUAAUAGCGGUCUUAACUAUGAGGAUCCUAAGGUAGCAAAAUCAGUUGGCCAUUAAAUGUGGUCUGGUAUCAAUAGUGUAACGAUGGUCUCACUGUCUCUACAACUUGCUCAGUGAAAUUGAAUUAU